GAAAACCCGCUUGACAACCAAAGAUAAAUACAGAAAGUUAACACUCAUACUCCUGUGGAUGUGUUAAAAUACAGCAGAGAAAUGUCAUUGACUAUUAACUCUGUAACAGGUAAAAGCAAGUGGCUUGUAGUGGAAGAGGGUUAUAAGUGUGUGUAGAUUAUUGGUUGUUUGUCACUAUGCCCAGUAGGGGACGCACCUCUCCUAAGUGUUAUGGGUUGGGUCCCUUAUCUGCCUUCUUCUAGUAUUGCCUGCAGCAGUCUACGGUAGCCGCUCACCGUGAUACACGUCCUCAGACUUUAAUAAACACUCAUUGCUUCAGAAACCUGUGAUCUCUUAUGCACACACAAGAAGUCACUACCAUUUACAUGGUGCCAGAAGACAGCAGGUACGGACUAUCGCCUGUGAGUAACUUUUUUUCUGGGCCGCUUGUUUUCGUUUUUCAGCGGACCUAUGGUUACUGGCUAGCCGAGCUGAGGACACAAUUUGUUUUUUUGUUUUUUUUUUGCUGAGUCACGGCGUAGGGUUUUUCCAGGCCAGACCCCGUCGUUUUUGAUGAAAAUGUUGCCGAAAGCUGGCGUGUUUUUGAAUGGGAGUACGACAUUUUUAUUGCUGCAGCAAAGAUAAUGGGAUAAUGGAACGGUUAUCACCCUGGUGGAGGCCAGGGAGGAUCCAGAGUGCCUGAAUAGGAAAAUUUAGGGAAAUGUGCAAACCUCAAUGCAACUGGACAGUGGACAGGCACAGAUUUAAUUCAUGGAAACAAAGACAAGGAGCAUCCAGCGGGUGCCAUUCACUACAUGCUUGUCCCUCAUCAGUGCUCGACCCGCAACUUCCACCAUAUGCUCUUGUUCGUGGCACCCGGCCUAUGCUGUCCAACACGCAGCUGCUGCCUAACAACAGCGCCUCUGUGGUGCUCGACCAGGAGCAGCUGGCACCUCUCGACCACAUCUUGGGGUUCGUCAACCAGCAUCAACAGCCGCUCUUUUGGACUUCGGAUACCAACACAAAAUAGCAGUUUCAAGCAACUUUCACCGCAAACAACAUUGCAGACAAGCUAGCAAGACCACCGGGCUCGUCAUGGAUUGUUGUCAAGGUGGCACAGGCGGGUUAGGGAGAAGAAGCAAAAGCGGGGCAGUCAGUCCGGCUGCCUGCUCAGGCUAAGAAACAAUCCACAAGACCACCUCUUCCAAGCCUGUACCUCACCAACUCCAGAUCCAUCGCCAACAAAAUGGACGAGGUGGAAUUACAAUUUACAAAUAAUCGGAGAGUUUGUUAUGUGUGUGUGUAUUUUAUUUCUUUAUUCUCUUUAUUUUCCUUUUAUGCUUUGAAGUUCUUAUGACGCAGGCUUUGUAACGCUGUUUCCUUUUAUACGUCUAAUACAUUAUGACGCAGAACCUUUAUGAUGCCUUUCAUGCUCUUGGGUCAUUUUGAUGUGGAUCCUUUGUAAUGCAGAUCCUUUGUUAUACGGAAUUCUGGAAUGUUCCAAGGUGUGCCUAUAUAAGGACGAGAAAGACAGUCAACGAGGCUUCUUAUGAACUCACCGCUGCUCUAGGACAAAGUACGCUGCUUGUGACUAACUACACGGGGCCUGCUGCCUUGGGUUUUUGGACAUCUCUGGAACAUUCGCUAACUUAGAAUACCCGCUGGAAAAAACAUUUGUCUGUUUGGGGAACAUUCAUUCAACGCUGGUGACUAUUCGCUGUUUUGGCUCGACUAAUCUGUCAGUGAACUUCUGUUUUGUGUUAGCUAUUUCAUCGUGUUUGUGUUCUAUUGAUGUGCGUGACAUUAAAUUGUUUUAACUGCCUUGUCACAUUUUGAGCAAACAGGACGUUAGUCUAAAUUCAUACUUUAGACUAUUUUACCUUUAUUGUACUUUCAUUAUUUGCUUAAAUGUUACCUUAUACAUUUAAUCAACAGAUAAGGUGGUGUCCAUUUGCUAAUCAGACAAGGACGUGUUGUGGAGUGCGGUGCCUGUCCUUAAUCUUUGUCUGUAGAAAACCAGCUGGUGGAAUCCACCUCUCCCAGGCGUUGCCGUGGAGACAAUCAACACCAGAUAAGGAGCAGAAAGUUACUAUCCUGGCCUAGGACCAGGCUGCGGGAGGGCAACCACUUUUACCAUGGACCCAUACAAAUAUAAAAACCUUAUGUAACAGGGCAGCUUUUGUCUUCUUCUUUGGGCUAUCCUGCCAGAAGACAGAGGUCUUGUGUGUGGCAGAAACCAAGAUAAGACCCGGACGUCUGUAUUGCACAUUCCUUUGUAAUUAAUCCACUUGCGUUAACUUUGUCUAAUCAUUGGUCACCUCUUCCUCGAUCCGUGAAAAUGCGUAGGGUCCAAACUUCCAAAUCCCUGCAAUUUCUUGGUGGCCCGACCGUAAGUCGAGGGAGGUAAACGGGCGUUGGCCAUCGACAGAUGAUAUUUUUUGGAUACAUAUGAGAAACACAGGAGUGUUUUUACAGACAGGUCGAGGGUGAUCCGUCUGUACUUCUGACUUCUCCAGGUCGCAGCCAAAACCAAAGGAUCUCAUGUUUACAGACCUCAAUAUCCUUAGCCCGCGGCUGCUAACCAGGGGAUGGAGGACACUCUCCCUGGCCUGUGGAAUUCUGGACUCCUGGAAACAUCCACCUCCUCGUGGUGUACACCACUCAUGCCAGUUUUAAAAGCAGAUGGUAACACUUAUCGUAUGGCACAUGAUUUGAGAGCCGUUAAUGAUGUAACGACCACACCAUUGUUACCUCUACCAGACCCCCACAGAAUGUUGUUUCCCAUCACACCUGAUUUGAAAUACUUCACAGCGAUUGAUUUGGCAAAUGCAUUCUUCUGUGUCCCACCCGCACCCGAGUGUUUGCAUUCAUAUAUCAGGGACACAAUUUGCAAUACACCAGGUUGCCACAAAGCUUCAAAAAUUCACAUGGAAUUUUUAAUCAAUGUUUGAAAUAAUUGCUGCAGGAUCUAAAACUCCCAGAUGGAUGUAAACUCCUGAUGUAUGUUGAUGACCUCCUGUUGGCAGCCCCAACAGCAGAGUCUUGUUUGUCUCUAACUCAACUUGUUUUGCUCUAUUUACAUGAGCUGGGAUUCAAAGCCUCCAGAAAGAAGCUUCAGGGAUUGAAAACGUCAUGUCCUGAUGUAUUGUAGCAUUCCACUAGAUCCAACGAUUAGACAAGCCCUGGCCAAACAUUCAGCGGUGGCUAUCGUCAAGGUCCCUGGCCACUCCAAAUCAACUUCAACGACAGCCCUUGGCAAUAAUCCUACCGACUUGGGUGCCAAGCAGGCUGCGGGCUAUGUCCCACAGAUGCUUGUCCAAUUAUCUGACAAAUCCUCUCCUGACCUGCCUGAACCUCCGUCUCAUAGUGAAUUGCUUAAAAUAUAGCCCAACACCCCUCCUAAACAAAAGAUUAUUUGGCGUGCUGGCUUAGGCCUCUAUGGCCAGCCAAUGUUACCUGAUGGACCUUUACUCUGUGAUGUUUUGACCGAAACUCACUCUAUGGCUCAUAUUGGACCCAGAGCCAUGCUAACCAAACUUUGCAUUUGGUGGCAUCCUAAAAUGUCUGACUUGUGUCACGCCCACUGUCGUGACUGUAAUAUUUGCCAGCUACACAAUGUUUGCCCCACACUUAGACCGUUGCAGGGUGAUUUGACCCACCCACCUGGCCCGGUGGUGAACUGGUCAUGGAUUUCACAGACAUGAUCACUCCUGUUCAAGGGAAGCACUACCUUCUUGUUUUUGUUGAUAACUUUUCCGGAUGGCUUGAAGCCUAGUCCUGUGUUCCCGAAGACCCCAUGUCGGUAUUGAAAGCUUUGGUGAACCACUGGAUUCUAACGAACGGUUUCCCCACUCUCAUCCGCUCGGGCAACAGUACACAUUUCACAUCCCCACACCUAGCUACCGCAGAGACGUGGUUAGGGUUAACUCACAAGUUUGGUUGUGUUUAUCACCCCGCCAGUCAAGGUUCGGUUGAACGUAUGAAUCGCAUGUUGAAGGAAAAACAGGCUAAAAUAUGUACCUCUUCCAGCAUGAAUUGGGUCCAGGCUCUCCUCCUUGCUCUAAAGUCUGUGAGACAAACUGUGAUUCGCUUGACUGGUUUCUUCCCUUACGAACUUCUUUCAGGUCGUCUGAUGCCUGGCCCUUCCGCCUCACUCAAACUGCUGGCGGAGGGCGUUGUGUCUCCCAAGUUUUGACAUAAACUUUUUUGGACACAACUGCAUUCUUUUGCUUCUAAUUUCUCAUUCCAGAUCACGACUCUCUUCCAUCACCACCUCCUACACUUGAUCUUCCUGAGUGGUCAUCUGUCUACCUAAAAUGACUCUCUCAUAAGUGGUCAGAACCCCAUUGGUCUGGCCACCACAAUGUAACUGCUUGUACCUCCAAAGCAGUUUGCUUGGAGAGAAAGGAACUACGUGGUUUCAUUAUUCUAUGCGUCACCCUGCUACAGACUCUUACUUGCACUUUUAUUUUAUUGUUUGUUGUCGUUUUAUUGUUAACCAUGAUUCCUACGGAUGGUCCGAUUCCUUUUCGGAGCAAGAGAAGGAGAGCAGGAAUUCAUGGCAUUAUUAUUAUUGGUGUUAUUUUUGUUUCUUGUAUUUUGAUCUGGGAAAUCGCUCAAAAAUACUCCCUACCCACACUCACAUCAGUGCCAGCUGUUACGCGCAGUAAACAAUAAUUGGUUACUAAUGUUAGAACAAGCAGCUAUUAAAACCCCGAGUGACUGUGUUGUAUAUUUGCGACCUAGACCUUUGUUACGUGUCGUUUCCUCUUCUGUCAACUCCACCUGUGUUCUAGAUCUUAUGAAAAAUUAUGUGCCGACUAAAAAUGAAUGCAAAAUUUGGGAUACUGCCCACCCGGUAACACCAGCCCACAAGAACAAUGACAACAAUUAUGGCUUUCCAAAAUAGAAUCGCAGUAGAUGCACUGUUGGCCCAGAAAGAAGGUGUUUGCCGAAUAACACCCCAUGUUUGCCGAAUAACACCCCAUCUGCCGGAUGCCUCACUAAGAUGGACUUAGAACCCUUACUAAGAAAAUGAAGGAACAGUCUGGUGUUGACACGUCGAUGUGGGAUAACUGGAUGAAUGUGUUUGGUAAAUGGGUGUCAUUUCAUCAAUCUUCAUCUCUCUGGUUGUCUUCACCUCUAUUUUUACUCUCUGUGGAUGCUGUUGCAUUCCUUGUAUUCGUUCUCUUUUAACCUGUCUGAUUGAGAAGGUGACUAGUGCCCCAGCUGAUGGCCACGAUAAUUAUGUCCUCAUUAGACCGCCGCCCCAACACACUCCUCAAGAUGAUUUUAUUGUUGUUGUCACUCCCCUUGAAAAUGAUGCUGAACUUCCACCGCUUCCUGAUUGUCAUGAUGUUGACAUGCCCCGUGAUUGCAUUGCCCUUGGCCUUCUGUUCUACUGAUACUUUUUGCGUGAUAUUACUUUUUUUUAGAAAUGUUUUGCUGUUUUUCAGUUGUCUAGUACUGUCCUGCAGGUUUAAAGCUUACCGGUGUUCUGAACCAUGAGACUAUGCACUUGUUAAAAGGUAUAUUUGGAUGAUUAGAGAGGGUUUUAUGUUUUCCCUAUUUCUUGAAGUGUUACUUUGGUGAUUUUCUUGUUUGUUUUUGUGAUCUAUUUAAUAGCUCAAGAGAAGGAAUGAAGACUAUUUUACUUUUAUUGUACUUUCAUUAUUUGCUUAAAUAUGACAUUAUACAUUUAAUCAACAGAUAAGGCGUUGUCCAUUUGCUAAUCAGACAAGGAUAUGUUGCAGAGCACGGUGGCUGUCCUUGAUCUUUGUACCCAGAAAACCGGCUGGUGGCAUCCUCCUCACCCGGGCAUUGCCGUGGAAACGAACGACACUAGAUUAAGGAGCGUAAAGUUACUAUCCGGCCCAGGAGCAGA